UCCCAAAAUGCUGGGAUUACAGGCGUGAGCCACUGCUCCCGGCUUAUUAUCUCCAUUUUAAAAGUCAAGGAACUGGGGCUUACGGAAGUUAAAGAACUAGCUGAAGAUUAAAGACGUAAAAUACCGACUUGGAUUUUUUUCCCAUAUUAAAUUUUUAAAAGUUUCCUUAUUCUCUUUUCAGCAAUAUUUUUAAGUGGGAAUUAAGUAAAUAAAGUAGUUAUUGAAUCUGAAAAUAUCAAGGACUUUUUUUAGUUAUUUUAUGUAUCUUACUACAGGUAAGAAGUGAUUUUUUUUUAAAUAUACAGAGAUCACAUCAGAGCUGUAUUAAAGGAAGAUGGAAAAUGGGGAUUAUUUAAUAAAUGAUAUUGGGACAACAAGAUAGCUAUAUGGGGAAACAAAAAACAACAACACACACCCACUAGAUUCAUAUUACUCCUAACACACCCCACCCCCAAAAUCACAGGUGGAUUUCUUUAUUUUUUUAAUUGAAAUUUUUUUUUUUUGGAGCCCAGGAAUUUGAGACUACUCUGAGCAACAUAAUGAGACCCCCAUCUCUACAAAAAAAUUUUAAAAAUUAGCUGAGUGUGAUGGCACAUGCCUGUAGUCCAGGCUAUUUGGGAAGCUGAGGUGGGAGGAUGGCUUCAGCCUGGGAGGUUGAGGCUGCAGUGAGCUGUGAUCAUGCCACUGCAUUCCAACCUGGUGACAAGAGUGAGACCCUGUCUCAAAGGAAAAAAAAAAAGGAAGUUAGCCCUUGCUUAUACGUGUUGAAAAUGUUUCUCCCCAGUCUGCCUGUUUCUUGCAUUGCUAUGGUGUUUUUAUGCCUUAUAGGGAUGUGAAAUAUUUAUGCAGUAAAAUUUAUUGGUGUUUUUUCCUUUAUGGCGUCUGGAUUUCCUGCCAUGUUAGAAAGAGCUUCUUCAAUCCAUGAUUUGAAAAAGUUUUAGUGUUCUUCUAAUACUUUUGAUUUCAUUUUUUAAAAUCAUAAAAAUUUGGCAUAGACAAAAGAAUAUACAUUAUGUGUACAUAGGUUGAGGGGGAUAAUAAUAAAAUAAACACCAGUAAACUCAACCUAAGAAAUUGUGGUUUAGUGGUUUCACUUUUUUAAUCAUUUAUUUUAAUUUUUUUUAGAGACAAGGACUUUUUUCUUUUCAUAUCAAGCAUGGAUAAUUCUUAUAAUUAAAAAAAACCAUUCAAGUUCUUUGAACAUACAGCUGGUAACUAGUCUUCAUAAUUCACCAGCAGUACUCAAGCUUUAGAACAUGUAAAUUAUUUUCCCCUAAAAUGCCUUAAGCAGAACUAGGGUGCUUUAGCAGGCCUUGUAGCAGACUGAAGCUUGUUUCUAGGCAUUUUCUAUGAAAUUGGCUUCCAAGUUUAUGUAGUGCAAAUAUAAGCCAAUAACGAGCCUCAGCUAUAUCUCCCGUUGCACUUUUUCAGGUUGAGCCUCCAGCAGCACUUCUUUCUUCCCCACUGCCAGUUCUCCGAGCUCACCUUGCAUUUACCCACAGCGGGUUUUCACUUUAUAAUUUAUUGUAAAUCGAAAUUUCUCCCUCUCCAGUUUUUUCCCCUUGGGCCAGGUAAGUAACCCCUGGUAGCCUUUGAAAGUCCCUGCACUGAAUUGGAACGGAGAAAUGGUUGAUGUUUCAGAGCACAUGUGUGAGCAAAUACAGAGAGAGGUGAAACAGCUUUUCAAAACAAAGGAUCAAAUAUCAGAAACCCUUUUCCUUUGUUUGGCUGUGAUUUAUUGUGGAUUAGCAAUUAAGAUUUCCAAUUCUGGCCGGGCACAGUGGCUCA
rnacentral:lncRNA from 1 species